rnacentral:rRNA from 1 species
CCUACGGGGGGCAGCAGUGGGGAAUAUUGGACAAUGGGGGGAACCCUGAUCCAGCCAUGCCGCGUGUGUGAAGAAGGCCCUCGGGUUGUAAAGCACUUUCAGUGAGGAAGAACGCCUGGUGGUUAAUACCCAUCAGGAAAGACAUCACUCACAGAAGAAGCACCGGCUAACUCCGUGCCAGCAGCCGCGGUAAUACGGAGGGUGCGAGCGUUAAUCGGAAUUACUGGGCGUAAAGCGCGCGUAGGUGGCUUGAUAAGCCGGUUGUGAAAGCCCCGGGCUCAACCUGGGAACGGCAUCCGGAACUGUCAAGCUAGAGUGCAGGAGAGGAAGGUAGAAUUCCCGGUGUAGCGGUGAAAUGCGUAGAGAUCGGGAGGAAUACCAGUGGCGAAGGUGGCCUUCUGGACUGACACUGACACUGAGGUGCGAAAGCGUGGGUAGCAAACAGGAUUAGAUACCCCGGUAGUC